UGCAGGCGUGGAAGCGUCUUUGUGAUGGCUGUCAGGCAGACCUGAGCCAGUUCUGCCGCUCUACACUCCGUGGAUCGUUCAUCCUACUACUGUUUUAUGUCAUGUGACUACGUCUCUUGAACGCUUGGAUUUGGUGGAGCAAGGUGGCCAGGGUGUGGGGCCAGUGCAAGUGAUCUCAGGACUGCUUUGGGCUCCAUAGGACCAGUGAUGAGUGCCGAUGUAAAGGACUGGCUUGUGAGAAAUCCUGAGCCUCCUGUAAGAUCAAGACCAAGAUCAAGAUAGGGCCUUCCGUAGGUCCGCUUUCUGAAGCACAGUGUCAACAUGUCUCCUCUAAUUUAAAAAGAUGGAGUGCACCCUCCCUGCACAUAUGCUGCCAUGCAUAGCCGCCUCCUCCUCUCCAUGAAGCACCUCCUGCACCGCUGGCCUCUCCAUCGACAACUUCUUCCAUACAUUAGCUUGGAUCAGCAGAGGAGUCGACACCACACAGCUCUGCGCUCUUCCCCUGUGACUCAGCAACACUGCGCUGACACUGUCUGUCAGAUGAAGGAAGGAGACAGCAAGCGAGGGGUUGAGGCUUCAGGGAGUUUUGACUCGUUAAGCAGGAUGGAUAUAAACCAGCCUCCAGCCAUUCAGCCUCCAGCCACUCAGCCAGCCAGCCAGCCUCUAUCCAGUCAGCCAGCCAGCCAGCCAGCCUCGAGCCAACCAGCCAGCCAUCAACCCAGCCAGCCACCUAUCCAGCCUCAAGGUGUCACGUAGCCUCACGUGACAUGAAGACACUGUUUGGAAUUGCUGUUGGGGAAAGUAGCUGGAGCAGAGAUGCAUUCCACGUGACUGCCGCGUAAGGAGACGAGUCUGGUACGCACGCCCACGCCCACAGCUCUCCUCUCUGCCGCCUGACCGGCGCAGGAACGAGCCACUCAGCCCCUCUUGCCGGCUCCCACAGGCAUCAUCAUUAUUAAGACUCGGAAUUUUUUUGUAUUCGUGGCAUAAAAGACCAUGUUUUUUUUUUUUUUUUUUUUUUUUGUAUUUACGCUCAAUAAAUGACUAAGAUUGCUUGUAAUUCGCAAGUAUUUAUUUUACCUGAUUCCUUCUAAGACAGCGCCAUCAAAAUGUGACUGAUUUUAAAA